rnacentral:rRNA from 1 species
GGCGGCUCUCCCCGCCGCCGCCCAAACCCUCUGUUUUUCUCUCUCCUGCCAAUCCCCUCAUCGCCUCCGCUCCCACGCCGCCGAAUCCGAGACCUGAUCUCGGAUUCACCGCGACCAGACCCUCAGGCGAUCCCCGGCACCUCCUCCCCGACGCUUCAGCCAUGGCAGGAAUGGCACCGGAAGGUUCCCAGUUUGACGCUAAGAACUAUGAUUCUAAGAUGCAGGAGCUGCUGAACCAAGGUGAGACUGAGGAGUUCUUCACCUCUUAUGAUGAAGUUCACGAGAGCUUUGAUGACAUGGGUCUCCAAGAGAACCUCCUGAGGGGAAUUUAUGCUUAUGGUUUUGAGAAGCCUUCUGCCAUCCAGCAAAGGGGAAUCGUUCCUUUCUGCAAGGGCCUUGAUGUUAUCCAGCAAGCACAAUCUGGAACAGGAAAGACUGCUACUUUCUGUUCUGGAAUCCUCCAACAGCUUGACUAUGGUUUGGUUGAGUGCCAGGCCUUGGUCCUUGCUCCCACCCGUGAGCUUGCACAGCAAAUUGAGAAGGUCAUGCGUGCACUUGGUGACUACUUGGGUGUGAAGGUUCAUGCCUGUGUUGGAGGAACUUCAGUUCGUGAGGACCAAAGGAUUCUUGCAAGUGGAGUGCAUGUCGUUGUUGGUACGCCUGGGCGUGUGUUUGACAUGCUCCGUAGGCAGUCUCUGCGCCCUGACAACAUCAAGAUGUUUGUCCUCGAUGAAGCUGAUGAGAUGCUUUCCCGUGGUUUCAAGGAUCAGAUUUAUGACAUCUUCCAGCUGCUCCCAGGGAAGAUUCAAGUUGGUGUCUUCUCUGCUACCAUGCCCCCUGAAGCCCUUGAGAUUACCCGCAAGUUCAUGAACAAGCCAGUGAGGAUCCUUGUCAAGAGGGAUGAGCUCACCCUUGAGGGUAUCAAGCAGUUCUAUGUCAAUGUGGAGAAGGAAGAGUGGAAGCUUGACACACUGUGUGACCUGUACGAGACUCUUGCCAUCACCCAGAGUGUCAUCUUUGUGAACACCCGCCGCAAGGUGGACUGGCUCACCGACAAGAUGAGGGGCAGGGACCACACCGUCUCCGCCACUCACGGAGACAUGGACCAGAACACUAGGGACAUCAUCAUGAGGGAGUUCAGAUCAGGUUCUUCACGUGUUCUCAUCACCACUGACCUGCUUGCGCGUGGUAUUGAUGUCCAGCAAGUGUCCCUGGUCAUCAACUAUGACCUCCCGACCCAGCCAGAGAACUACCUGCAUCGCAUCGGUCGUAGUGGUCGGUUCGGGAGGAAGGGUGUGGCCAUCAACUUUGUGACCCGUGAAGAUGAGAGGAUGCUGUUUGACAUCCAGAAGUUCUACAACGUGGUGAUUGAAGAGCUCCCAGCCAACGUUGCCGACCUUCUGUGAGCGGGGCGGGCUGUGGAGAACAUAUGGCUGUGGUUCUAUGUGCUGAGGAGGGAGGCGUUGCUGCUCAUGCUGCUGUUGCUGGAGUCCUCACUUUAUUUGUUAAGACUAUGUAAUGACCGAAUGAUGUUAUUUGUUUGUGUCAUCCUUGACUCUUUACCUACCGCAUGUAAUCCUGCAAUCGGUACUUUUAAUGCUAUCGUUAUUAAAAACUGUUUACUCAUGUUUUAGCAAUAACCUAUCCUUAUUAGUCAAAGGGAGUAUUUAUCUACUUAUGACCACUCGCAUGUUGCUAUUUGGGUUUCAGGAUUAUACUUUCUGAAAUUCCUAUUCUCUGUACUGAGUGAAACUAAUAUACUGGGUUACCU